GAUGAACGCUGGCGGCGUGCCUAAUACAUGCAAGUCGAGCGAACAGACGAGGAGCUUGCUCCUCUGACGUUAGCGGCGGACGGGUGAGUAACACGUGGAUAACCUACCUAUAAGACUGGGAUAACUUCGGGAAACCGGAGCUAAUACCGGAUAAUAUAUUGAACCGCAUGGUUCAAUAGUGAAAGACGCUUUUGCUUUCACUUAUAGAUGGAUCCGCGCCGCAUUAGCUAGUUGGUAAGGUAACGGCUUACCAAGGCAACGAUGCGUAGCCGACCUGAGAGGGAGAUCGGCCACACGGGAACGGAGACACGGUCCAGACUCCUACGGGGGGAAGCAGUAGGGAAUCUUACGCAAUGGGCGAAAGCCUGACGGAGCAAAGCCGCGGGAGGGAUGAAGGUCUUCGGAUCGUAAAACUCUGUUAUUAGGGAAGAAGAAAUGUGUAAGUAACUAUGCACGUAUUGACGGUACCUAAUCAGAAAGCCACGGCUAACUACGUG
rnacentral:rRNA from 1 species